rnacentral:rRNA from 1 species
UAAUACGGAGGAUCCAAGCGUUAUCCGGAUUCACUGGGUUUAAAGGGUGCGUAGGCGGAAUGACAAGUCAGUGGUGAAAACCUAUAGCUUAACUAUAGAACUGCCAUUGAUACUGUUAUUCUUGAGUGUAUUGGAUGUGAAUGGAAUGUGUCGUGUAGCGGUGAAAUGCUUAGAUAUGACACAGAACACCCAUUGCGAAGGCAGUUCACAACACUACAACUGACGCUGAGGCACGAAAGCGUGGGGAUCAAACAGGAUUAGAUACCCUGGUAGUCCACGCCGUAAACGUUGAUUACUAGAUGUGUGCGCGUAGCGUACGUGUCAAAGCGAAAGCGUUAAGUAAUCCACCUGGGGAGUACGACCGCAAGGUUG